ACUGUUUUACACAAUUGAAUUGGUUUCAGGUUAUUGGCAAGAUGAGAGCUUUGAUGAGUGAUGAUUCAAUUAACAUUCCAAAUAAAUCCUUUUUGUUGGAUGAUGAUUCGAGUAUCCCUUUCUCCUUGGAUGAUAUCUCUCGGUCAGUUCUCGACAUAAAUCUUUCAGAUGUUGAACCGCCACCAUUACUGCGACAAAAUUCUGAAUUCCAUUUCCUCUUACAACAGCACAUAGAUUGAAUGAUUUUCUUUUCUUUAUAUUUUUAACAAAAAGAAAAGAGUUGUAAUUUUUCAGGGUAUUUUUUAAGUGUGCAGAGUGUAAUUUUGUUUUUGUUUUUGUUUUUUUCCCAUAUAUUCUUUCUCCUCCUUCCAUUUGAUAAGCCUCACUGAUUUUUUGAGUGUGUGUAGCCAUAUACGAGUGGAUGUGUUACAGGGAUUGUAUGUAAAAAACAGGAUUGGUUUUGCUUU